rnacentral:rRNA from 1 species
AUUCCAGCUCCAAGAGCGUAUAUUAAAGUUGUUGCAGUUAAAAAGCUCGUAGUUGGAUUUCUGGUUUGAUGCCCUGGCCCGCUUCAAAUUUUGGAGUGUGUGCCGGCUGUGCGUCUGCCAUCCUUCUAGAAAACGUCUCCACCCUUCACUGGGCCGGGUUCGCGAUCUAGAUCUUUUACUUUGAAAAAAUUAGAGUGUUUAAAGCAGGCUUUUGCUAUGAAUACAUUAGCAUGGAAUAAUAAUCUAGGACUUCGGUUCUAUUUUGUUGGUUUCUAGUACUGAAGUAAUGAUUGAUAGGGAUAGUUGGGGGUGCUAGUAUUGAGCGGCCAGAGGUGAAAUUCUUGGAUUCGCUCAAGACUAACUUAUGCGAAAGCAUUCACCAAGGAUGUCUUCAUUG